rnacentral:rRNA from 1 species
GACGAACGCUGGCGGCGUGCCUAAUACAUGCAAGUCGAACGCUGAAGGCUGGUCUUUGUACCCUCUGGGAGUGGCGAACGCGUGAGAAUCCCGCGUGUAACCUGCCCCUUAGAGGGGGGUAACUCCUGGGAACACGAGUGCUAAUCGCACAUGAGCACUUUCUGCAUGAGUUUUACUUAUAAGUUAUGCCUUUUCGUCACUCAGAGGUGCUUCCGCGGUGUAUUAGCGAGUUGGUGAGGUAAAGGCUCACCAAGGCGAAGAUACAUAGCCGACGUGAGAGGGUGAUCGGCCACACUGGGAGGGAGACACGGCACAAACUGCUACGGGAGGCAGCAGUAGGGAAACGUCGGCAAUGGACGGAAGUCUGACCGAGCAACGCCGCGUGAGGGAAGAAGGGUGUCGGAUCGGAAAACUCGGUUGUUAGAGAAGAACGUGGGUGAGAGUGGAAAGAUCAGCGAGUGACGGUAACUACCCAGAAAGCGACGGCUAACUACGUG